UACGUAGGGUGCAAGCGUUGUCCGGAAUUAUUGGGCGUAAAGAGCUCGUAGGCGGUCUGUCGCGUCUGCUGUGAAAACUCGGGGCUUAACCCCGGGCCUGCAGUGGGUACGGGCAGACUAGAGUGCGGUAGGGGAGACUGGAAUUCCUGGUGUAGCGGUGAAAUGCGCAGAUAUCAGGAGGAACACCGGUGGCGAAGGCGGGUCUCUGGGCCUUUCCUGACGCUGAGACGCGAAAGCGUGGGGAGCGAACCGG
rnacentral:rRNA from 1 species